rnacentral:rRNA from 1 species
CCGCCUGGGGAGUACGGCCGCAAGGUUAAAACUCAAAUGAAUUGACGGGGGCCCGCACAAGCGGUGGAGCAUGUGGUUUAAUUCGAUGCAACGCGAAGAACCUUACCUACUCUUGACAUCCAGAGAACUUAGCAGAGAUGCUUUGGUGCCUUCGGGAACUCUGAGACAGGUGCUGCAUGGCUGUCGUCAGCUCGUGUUGUGAAAUGUUGGGUUAAGUCCCGCAACGAGCGCAACCCUUAUCCUUUGUUGCCAGCGAUUCGGUCGGGAACUCAAAGGAGACUGCCGGUGAUAAACCGGAGGAAGGUGGGGAUGACGUCAAGUCAUCAUGGCCCUUACGAGUAGGGCUACACACGUGCUACAAUGGCGUAUACAAAGAGAAGCGACCUCGCGAGAGCAAGCGGAACUCAUAAAGUACGUCGUAGUCCGGAUUGGAGUCUGCAACUCGACUCCAUGAAGUCGGAAUCGCUAGCAAUCGUAGAUCAGAAUGCUACGGUGAAUACGUUCCCGGGCCUUGUACACACCGCCCGUCACACCAUGGGAGUGGGUUGCAAAAGAAGUAGGUAGCUUAACCUUCGGGAGGGCGCUUACCACUUUGUGAUUCAUGACUGGGGUG